rnacentral:rRNA from 1 species
UGGGGAAUAUUGGACAAUGGGCGCAAGCCUGAUCCAGCAAUGCCGCGUGUGUGAAGAAGGCCUUCGGGUUGUAAAGCACUUUUAUCAGGAGCGAAACGCUGUCGGCUAAUACCCGGCGGAACUGACGGUACCUGAGGAAUAAGCACCGGCUAACUUCGUGCCAGCAGCUGCGGUAAUACGAAGGGUGCAAGCGUUAAUCGGAAUUACUGGGCCGUAAAGCGUGCGUAGGCGGUUUCUUAAGUCUGCUGUGAAAUCCCCGGGCUCAACCUGGGAAUGGCAGUGGAUACUGGGAGGCUAGAGUGUGUCAGAGGGCUGGUGGAAUUCCCGGUGUAGCGGUGAAAUGCGUAGAGAUCGGGAGGAACAUCAGUGGCGAAGGCGGCCACCUGGGACAACACUGACGCUGAGGCACGAAAGCGUGGGGGAGCAAACAGGAUUAGGAUACCCUGGGUAGUCCCACGCCCUAAAGCGAUGCGAACUGGAUGUUGGUCUC